rnacentral:rRNA from 1 species
CCUACGGGUGGCAGCAGUGGGGGAUAUUGCACAAUGGGGGGAACCCUGAUGCAGCGACGCCGCGUGGGUGAAGGAGCGUUUCGGCGCGUAAAGCCCUAUCGGCAGGGAAGAAGGAGGACGGUACCUGACUAAGAAGCCCCGGCUAACUACGUGCCAGCAGCCGCGGUAAAACGUAGGGGGCAAGCGUUAUCCGGAUUUAAUGGGGGUAAUGGGGGCGCAGACGGGAUCGUAAGCCAGGAGUGAAAGCCCGGGGGCCAACCCCGGGAAUGCGCUUGGAACUGGGCGGCUGGAGUGCUGGAGAGGCAAGCGGAAUUCCGUGUGUAGCGGUGAAAUGCGUAGAUAUACGGAGGAACACCAGAGGCGAAGGCGGAUUGCUGGACAGUAACUGACGCUGAGGCGCGAAAGCGUGGGGAGCAAACAGGAUUAGAUACCCUAGUAGUC